rnacentral:rRNA from 1 species
CCUACGGGGGGCAGCAGUGAGGAAUAUUGGUCAAUGGACGAGAGUCUGAACCAGCCAAGUAGCGUGAAGGAUGACUGCCCUAUGGGUUGUAAACUUCUUUUAUAUGGGAAUAAAACGUUCCACGUGUGGGAUUUUGUAUGUACCAUGUGAAUAAGGAUCGGCUAACUCCGUGCCAGCAGCCGCGGUAAUACGGAGGAUCCGAGCGUUAUCCGGAUUUAUUGGGUUUAAAGGGAGCGUAGGUGGAUUGUUAAGUCAGUUGUGAAAGUUUGCGGCUCAACCGUAAAAUUGCAGUUGAAACUGGCAGUCUUGAGUACAGUAGAGGUGGGCGGAAUUCGUGGUGUAGCGGUGAAAUGCUUAGAUAUCACGAAGAACUCCGAUUGCGAAGGCAGUUCACUGGACUGCAACUGACACUGAGGCUCGAAAGUGUGGGUAUCAAACAGGAUUAGAUACCCCAGUAGUC